rnacentral:lncRNA from 10 species
CCUGGCUCAAAAAGCUCCCCUACUGAGCACCUUGUGACCCCCCACUCCUGCCAGCCAGAGAACAACCCCCCCUUGACUGUAAUUUUCCUUUACCUACCCAAAUCCUAUAAAAUGGCCCCACCCUUAUCUCCCUUCGCUGACUCUCUUUUUGGACUCAGCCCGCCUGCACCCAGGUGAUUAAAAAGCUUUAUUGCUCACACAAAGCCUGUUUGGUGGUCUCUUCACAUGGAUGCGCAUGACAGCUAUUACUUAAUAGAGAAGGAAAAACAAUUGGAUGAAUGUCAAGCAAGAAGCAGACUAGGUAAAGGAUACCUGGAACAGAAAUGCCAGCUCUUCCUUCAUUUGGAUUUACUCUCCUUUGUUACAAAAAUAAUAAUCUAGAUAGACCCAUGAUUUUGAUAUUGGCCUAAUAUAAGCAGAGUUUUUGUUUCUGAAGAUUUAUGAACAUUUGAAAACAGGAUUUUUGGAGGAAGUUAGGAAAUACUGGAUGGGAAGAGCAUGCAUACAACCUCAUAAUAUACUAAAUGCAUACCAUAGGUUCAACUACUGAUUUUCUUAUCGAUUCCUCAUCACAAUGAUUAACAGUGUUUGUGGUUGGGAAAUUGAAAGACUAUAUGUAUUUUUACCUUUUUGUGAGAAAAUGAAGCAUUGAUAUAAAACCUCCUAUUUUUAUAAACUCUGCUCCAGUUCAGGCAUUGGUUGAUUGUAGGUAAAAUAUUUAGAUUUUAGUAUCAUUUAAAUGUAUACAGAUAUAAUAUCUUCAUACAUAUUUUUGUAGAAAUUUGGAAAAUGUUAUGUCCAGAGUUGUUCUUCAAGCUGUUUGAGUUACAAAUUAACUCUUGGCUUCUUUAAUUAUUUUGGAUUUCAUUCCUGCCCUUCACCCUGAUUUAUAUGACUUUACAAUUUGACCUGCUUUCUGUUCAUUUUAUAGCUCUCCUCUCUAAAAAUCCAACUCAUCUAUCACUAGGGAGCAGUAAUUGCAAUCACAGUGCAGGGAAUGUAAUGUUUAGCUUCUAUCCCUGUAUAUAGAAUAGUCUAUCAAUCACCUUCCAGUAUCACUGCCAACAUUUGCCUGUGGAUUCUGUAGGGGAAUAAGCCCUACAUGUGGAUGUAGACCCACUAGCUAAUAGAAUUAUUUUAUUUCACUAAGAAUCAAGAGCCAAGACUUAUCCCUGCUGUUUUUCUAUUUCCAACUACUGGAUCCUUCAUUUUCUGCAUUUGACAAAAAGGAAAGGAAAGCUACAAAAAAAAGAAAUAUGUUAAUCUCCAAAACGAAAAGAAAAAAUACAGUCAACUAGACUGGAACUGACAAGUGGGGCUCAAGAAUUAAAUGACCUGAGAAUUAUGUGGACUUCUUAUUACAAAAUCCCCAGCUGGUCUCUAGUUUGUAAAAUUCUUUAGUUUCCGCACUCCAAAUGAAAGCAAAAUUUGUCCUCAAAGCACCAUGUCCAAACUGGUAGCUAGACAGGAACACAGAAUAAAACAAUUUUAUUUUGUUAUGCGUUCAAUCACAAGAAGAAAACACCUGAAUUCCUAUAUCAAAUACAUGAUUUAUAACAACUGAAAAUGGUCUCAACCUGGAAUAUCCCCAAUGUAGUCAUAUUAUUGAUUUUCAUUCCUUAGUCCUUUUCUCCACAUCUGAAGAAAAUUUACCUUUAGAUAAUCUAGGCCAUGUCAAAUAAACCUCUUUGUGUCGGGUUAAGUUGAUUAUAAAUGACACAUUGGGUGUUACUUUCUCAUAAUUGUUUGUGUUAUGAUUCUAUUAUUGUGUUAUAUAUAUAAAAGCAGAUGGACUAAUUCAUGAUCUCUUCCUUAUCACAAAGGGACAAAAUAUAGAGCCUACUUAGAACUUACUUGUUAUCUGCUGUCCCUUCUUGACCUUCCCAUACUAAAUUUACCAAUUUCCUUAUUCCUUUUCAAAUGCAACCCACUGCAAACCAAGUAGGAAGUGAAAUUUUAAGUUUGGCCAGUCAUAAAUUCUUGCUUUUGGUGUAGAGUGCUCUUACACAUCAUUAACUGG